rnacentral:rRNA from 1 species
CGAAAGGAACAGGGUGUCGGGGCCUCUGGUGUACCGGUCGUCCGCCAGGGCGACGCCGGGUAGCUAAGCCCCAAGGCGACAAGGGCUGAAAGCAUCUAAGCCCGAAGCGCCCCCCGAAAAUAGGCGGCCGUCCCUUAAGGGUAAGGGCCCGGGUAGAAGACCCGGUUGAUGGGGCGGAGGUGUACGCAGGG